rnacentral:rRNA from 1 species
GAUGAACGCUGGCGGCGUGCCUAAUACAUGCAAGUCGAGCGAACGGACGAGAAGCUUGCUUCUCUGAUGUUAGCGGCGGACGGGUGAGUAACACGUGGAUAACCUACCUAUAAGACUGGGAUAACUUCGGGAAACCGGAGCUAAUACCGGAUGAUAUUUUGAACCGCAUGGUUCAAAAGUGAAAGACGGUCUUGCUGUCACUUAUAGAUGGAUCCGCGCUGCAUUAGCUAGUUGGUAAGGUAACGGCUUACCAAGGCAACGAUGCAUAGCCGACCUGAGAGGGUGAUCGGCCACACUGGAACUGAGACACGGUCCAGACUCCUACGGGAGGCAGCAGUAGGGAAUAUUGCGCAAUGGGCGAAAGCCUGACGGAGCAACGCCGCGUGAGUGAUGAAGGUCUUCGGAUCGUAAAACUCUGUUAUUAGGGAAGAACAUAUGUGUAAGUAACUGUGCGCAUCUUGACGGUACCUAAUCAGAAAGCCACGGCUAACUACGUG